UCUCUCUCCUAUGGGCACUGCGUCUGCCUACAUUAACCAUAAUCCUCUUCUGCUUAUGUCACGUAUCCGGAUGUGAUGGUAACCCUGUUGUAUUCAUCUGUUUAACCUCUUCCUGUCCCAGCUCCCGCCCUUAGCCUAUAAAAGGUGUGAUUAUUUCCUGAAUAAACCGGAAGCUUGAUCAGAUUAUUUCGACUUGCUUUCGUCUCUUUUUGUCUCCCCCAUGUCUUUUAUUUAAUCCCCGUUUCCCCUCCAGGAGUUCUGAACUUGUUGAUCUGCAGGCCGGAUCAAGUGUUGCCCAACGUGGGGCUCCAGGCACGGAGAAGUUAACGAGGGAGCCGUUCGAGAGACAGCCGGCUUAAACUGAAAGUGAAAGCAAAUUGAACCAGAGACCGCGGUCGAGGAAUGAGUAAACUGAAUCAAGGAUUAAAGCUUAAAGCAACAGGACAUUAAAUCAAGUGCCGAGACCUGCGCAGACGACUACCCGACGUCCUGCCCGAGUCACGGUGACACAUCUCCCUGGAGCCUUAUGCUGCUUAGCCAGCCUUCUUGAGCCACACCACACCCAUGGUGGAUUUUGAUCCCUGCCAAACAGACUACAACUGCUGACAGCCAUGCACAGAACCCCAUGACUGCGGAAGAGGCUCUUCUCGGUCUGGAGGAACAUACACCAGCCAAAUAGACUGCAUCCAGUGUUAUACAAGGCAUGCUCCAAGACACAGGAGAAUGACUUCAUACAGAGACACCAACAGAUGGCUGUCAACCCCUUCUCCUCGAUUGGGGAGGGGGGUUUCCCUUACCUUAUGCCCCUUUUGGGUCCCCUAGCUGACCUAUUGUUUCUCAUUUCUGUGAGUUCUUGUAUUUUUCAGAGGAUUAUGAUGUUCAUUAAUAACCGGAUAGACGCAUUUAUGGCAAAGCCCAUUCAGGUACACUAUCAUCAGCUGGAGAUGGCAGAGCAACAAACCUACUGGGAAGGAAUUCCCACAGUGGCCCAUAUGAUGAUGUGGCCUAACUGCCCUGGAGCAAUGGACAGGCAGUCAGAGACGGGCAACUAGGACAUACAUGUUAAUUCCAACGGCCACCUAAGACAGGCACAGGACCAACUGCUGUUCUGCAAGCCCAUGACGGGUAGGGCCUGGUUGGGUUCAUGCAAUGAGGUCCUUGACCUAAGACAGACGCUGUCCUCACAGGGCCUGCCAUACUCUUAAUUAAAUAAUAUAAAAAGGGAGGAGAUGUAGGGAGCCGAGUGACAGGCAUUGCUGCCUCGAUGUCUCUCUCUCUCUCCUAUGGGCACUGCGUCUGCCUACAUUAACCAUAAUCCUCUUCUGCUUACAUCACGUAUCUGGAUGUGAUGGUAACCCUGUUGUAUUCAUCUGUUUAACCUCUUCCUGUCCCAGCUCCCGCCCUUAGCCUAUAAAAGGUGUGAUUAUUUCCUGAAUAAACCGGAAGCUUGAUCGGAUUAUUUCGACUUGCUUUCGUCUCUUUUUGUCUCCCCCAUGUCUUUUAUUUAAUCCCCGUUUCCCCGCCAGGAGUUCUGAACUUGUUGAUCUGCAGGCCGGAUCAGUAAUUGUUAUUAAAAAGAGAGGAAAGGAAGGUGGUCUAAGGGAUAUAAUUGCAUGUAUGUUUGAGUGUGUAGUCUGGAAAUCUAUAUUACUGUUAGCUUUUGUUGGAUCAUUGAAUGGCACUGUCUGCAAUCUCAUUGUAUGAAUGUACACUUUAUAUGCUUUAAUUUUAUAAUUUGUACAACUGUUUCUAAGAUGACAAUAUGUAACCUAUUAACUAGUGAUAUCUUACUGUAUUUUUUUCUUGAAAUUCUGUAUUAUUUGUACCCUUUUACUGCUUUGUUUUUUUAAUUUCCUUUCUUUUUUCCUCUUUAAAUUAAAAAAAAGAGAGAGAUUAACCAAUAACAAAUGCUGGUGAGGUUGUGGGAAGAAAGAAACCCUUUUGUAUUGUUGGAGAGACUGUCUUGAUUUCUUAAAAUACAGGUACAAACUCCAUGCAUGGUAAAAUCACCAUGUGCAUGCCAAUAGAUAAUAAUACUAUGACACUACUACAUUAGAAGAACUAUCAUUCUUCUAAUGAUACUACAAUACUACAACUAAUGAGGCUCAGACACACAAGCUUACAUAUUCCAUGGUCUUUCUUAUAUGAAAAUAUCUCUCCCUCUCUCUGUCUCUCUGUCUCUCUGUCUCUCUGUCUCCCCCCUCCACAUGACACAAAGACAGAGAGAAAAGGUAUUGUGAUUCAAUGUGAACAAUGUAUCUAACUGUGUACCUUGACUAUUGAGUACAAUUGUCUUACAUGUUUUAUACAUGUUUGGACUAAGAAUAUAUUAUCUGUAUAUUUGAUAAUUAAUUGCAUAAGGUCUUAUAAGAUAAAUGCAUGAAUGUAAUAUUGGAAAAAUAGAAGGGGUGAUGGGAAGGAUGAGCAACAGAAUUUGAAUGUUUACAUACAUGUACCAAUCCCAUAAAGUGAAUGUAAUAAUUAUCUACAGCAAAUAUAUACUAAUAAAAGUAAAAAUAACAAAGCAUUUGAAGAGACUGGACAAAAGUUCAAAAGUAUAAAACUAUUUUUAGAAAAUGUCAUCUACCUUAAUAUGUUUGGUGCCAAUGGUAACUUGAAAGACUAUUUAAAAAGGAUUGGCCUUUUCCAGUUUGAUUCACAACAUUCUAUAGUGAUUUCUGGUUAAUUUGUAUACUUGUAUAUUUGUAUAAUUUGUAUAUUUGUAUACUUUGCCAGGGCAAAAAAUAUUAAAUGUUUCACAAUAUAGAAACAGCAAUUUAUAAAACUGCUGGAAAGAAGAAUUAUGCUAAUAAAGACAAUGUAAACUAUUAAUCCA